rnacentral:lncRNA from 1 species
UUCUUUCCGGUGUUUGCUUCUCCGGGUUGGUUCCGGUAACGUCGUGUUGUGAGGAUUCAUUCGGCUACGUCCAUUUGUCUUCUUCAUGGACUCGUUCUUCUUCCUUGCGGGAUUUCAGGCAAGAUGAUCGUACCCUCGAAAUCACUUCUAUCUUUGCUUGCUAGUUGCUCGCUCUUUUGCUAUGCCUAUGCUGCGAUACCUACCACUUUCUUAUCAUGCCUCCCAUAUUGUUGAACCAAGCCUCUAACACACCUUGUCCUAGCAAACCGUUGUUUGGCUAUGUUACCGCUUUGCUCAGCCCCUCUUAUAGCGUUGUUAGUUGCAGGUUAAGAUUGAAGUUUGUUCCUUGUUGGAACAUGGAGAUGUUGUUCCUUGUUGGAACAUGUUUACUUGUUGGGAUAUCACAAUAUAUCUUAUUUAAUUAAUGCAUCUAUAUACUUGGUAAAGGGUGGAAGGCUUGGCCUUAUGCCUGGUGUUUUGUUCCACUCUUGCCGCACUAGUUUCCGUCAUAUCGGUGUUAUGUUCCCGGAUUUUGCGUUCCUUACGCGGUUGGGUUAUAAUGGGAACCCCUUGACAGUUCGCUUUGAAUAAAACUCCUCCAGCAAGGCCCAACCUUGGUUUUACCAUUUGCCACCUAGCCUCUUUUUCCCUUGGGUUAGGCCAGCCCAAGGGUCAUCUUAUUGUAACCCCCCCGGGCCAGUGCUCCUCUAAGUGUUGGUCCAACCCAGAGCACCGUGCAGGGCCAUCCCUUGGCAACUUGAGUUACGUCGGCUCCUGUACGCUUAGCUUAUCCGGUGUGCCCUAAGAACGAGAUAUGUGCAGCUCCUAUCAGGAUUUGUCGGCACAGCGGGUGGUCUUGCUAGACUUAUUUUACCAUUGUCGAGGAUGUCUUGUAGAACCGGGAUACCGAGUCUGAUCGGAAUGUCUCGGGAGGAGGUCUAUUCCUUCGUUGACCGUGAGAGCUUGUCAUGGGCUAAGUUGGGACACCCCUGCAGGGAUUUGACCUUUUGAAAGCCGUGCCCGCGGUUAUGGGCAGAUGGGAAUUUGUUAAUGUCAGGUUGUAGAUAACUUGAACCUUAACUUAAUUAAAAUGAAUCAACUGCGUGUGUAACUAUGAUGGUCUCUUUCCGGCGGAGUCCGGGAAGUGAACACGGUGUUGGAGUUAUGCUUGACGUAGGUUGUUCUAGGAUCACUUCUUGAUCAUACUUUUAUCGACCGUGCUUUGCCUUCUCUUCUCGCUCUCAUUUGCGUAUGUUAGCCACCAUAUAUGCUAGUCACUUUCUGCAGCUCCACCUCAUACCUUUUACCUUACCCAUAAGCUUAAAUAGUCUUGAUCGCGAGGGUGCGAGAUUGCUGAGUCCCCAUGGCUCAUAGAUACUUCCAAACCAGCUUGCAGGUGCCGAUGAGUCCAUGCAGAUGACGCAACCAAGCUCAGGAGGAGCUCAAUGAAGAUCUUGUCCUUUGUGUUGUUUCGUUCUAGUUGAUCAGUAGUGGAGCCCAGUUGGGGUCGAUCCGGGACCUUGUCGCAUUUGGGGUUCUUCUUUUAUUUUGG